GAUUAGGGAGCAAAGUGACAGAAGCACAGGAAGGAUUAUAAAACAUGAAGAUUGUGCUACCACGCACAUGCCCUUUAGUGCUAACGAACAAGGAAAGAAGAUGACAAACAACUUAUAUAUAAAGCAGUAGAAUUGUUUCUAAAUUACCAGUGCCAUCAGGACUCAGCUGAGCUUGGUGCAUUGCCUUCUUCGUGCCACACUCACAGUGGAAAGAGGAGCUAAGCCUACCAAUAGAGGCAUCUCCUUUGGAACAUGAAAUAGAAAACCAGGAUUCUUCAACAAUAUCCUUUUUAUCUUUAUGUCUGCAUCUCUAAUUUUUACUGGAAUAGUUCAGUAUCCAAGGACUCGCAGGAUCUGAGAUUUGUUGGGUCUCCCUCCCUAGGAAGUACUACACUUUUCUUCAGCUACUUAUCCAGAUGUAUUGUUUGUUUAUUAAAUUUUCUACUAAGUAUUUGAAGAAAAUCACCUUUGAAGAGUAUAAUA